GCUGAAAAAACAAAAACGGGAAAUAACAUUUAGAAUGAUUACCGCCAUAUGAAUGAUUGUACAAUUUAAUUCAGGAACAAAGUAAGGGAAGUUUCAGUUCAUAUUUUUUUUCAAAGAAAAUAAUUUGUUCAUGGAAAAAAAAAUCAGUCAGACCAAACUAAUUACAUUUUCAAGGACAAAAAGUCACUUUAGAUUUUUCAAAGAAUAUGGUCCUUUUGGGUGCCAUAUAAUGUCAUGGGAAUGUUCUGAAAGCUAAAUUGUAUACAACUGAAGGGGCAAACGGUCUUAUCCAAAAAAAAAGUUUAUUUUGGAGAACAAAAAAAGUUUUAUAUUUUAAAAAUGACUAUUUUAUGAAUAAUGGUGAAGAAUGUUAUAGGACACACUUUUACAAAUACAGUGUAUGUUACUCGAAAAUAUAUCUUGUACAUACUUCCGCGCUGAGCUACGCGUCCUGAUGGAGCCGAGGGCAGUCUUGAACUGGGCACUGAGGGCAGUCCUCCCAUGCUCCUCAGGUUAUCAUCCAUGUCCUCCUGCUCCAGCUCCUCUAGCUCGGCCAGCAGCUCAUCCUUAUAACAAAAUUUGCUCAUUUGUUUAGAAAUAUAU